rnacentral:rRNA from 1 species
UACGGGGGGGGCAAGCGUUGUUCGGAAUUACUGGGCGUAAAGCGCACGUAGGCGGCUUUGUAAGUUAGAGGUGAAAGCCCUUGGCUCAACCGAGGAAGUGCAUCCGAAACUGGAAAGCUAGAGUCCCAAAGAGGAUCGACGGAAUUCCCAGUGUAGACGGUGAAAUUCGUAGAUAUUAGGGAGGAACACCGGUGGCGAAGGCGGCGAUCUGGGUGGUGACUGACGCGUGGAGGCGCGAAAGCGGUGGGGAGCAAACAGG